ACUUUCUCCUCAUUCAGGUCUCUACUCAGAGGUGAUGUCCUCAGGGAGGUCAUUUCUGACACUCAGGUUUGGUUCAGUCUCUUGUGCAAAGAGGCUACAGGAGUCCUCACUAACCCAUAGUUUUUCCUUUCUCCAUUUUUAGUAACCCACAGACAAACACAAGUCAAGAAGCAGACGAUCCUCCUUCUGACAUACUAUCAGGUACUGAUUUAUUAUCGAUGCAAAGGGAGAAGUGCUAUUUGGAUUCCUAGCAUGACUUACUCAGUCUCCCCAGGAUCUUCUACAUUUGCUAUCCAGGAAUUCGCUUGUUCUGUGCUUGCUUUAUUUACAAGAUCCAAUGAGAUUGUUCUCAAACUGAUACGACUGCAGAGUUCCUAACGCCCUCGCACACAACACUCAGAAGUGUAUUUUUCAC
rnacentral:lncRNA from 1 species